GUUUUCUGUUGCUUUCGUUUUCUCUCUGGUGUCGCAGACACUAAAGCAGUCAGUCAUGUUUUUCUGUGUUCUGAUCAACGCUGAAUAAACUUGUAAAUAAUGCUCUCCUGAUUGCAACUUUUGGCUGUGCAUUAUCUGCUGAUAAGAGUGUGCAUGAGCUCUGGAAUGUGGCAAGAAAUCUUCUAGAAACUCAUGUCGCUAAUUGUUGAUACUGCGUGACUACGGGAGGUCGAUGGAUCGUCCGGCAGACGGCUUGGGGGCCUUGAUGGACUUUAUCUCCCUGGCAGUAUCCCAACAA